rnacentral:lncRNA from 10 species
GCCUUUGUAUUAGCAUCACUCUGCUCCUUGUACACACAUUUAACAACUAAUGGUUGAAAACCUUGCAAUUCUCAAAUUCAGACAGGUGCUAGGCUGGCUAAAUUAGAAUCACCUGAUAAUCCAUGGACCCACUCCUGGGGGCUUUGAAUGCACAGCUCGGCUUGGGAAUCACUGGCCCACUAAGUGGGAUGAGCAGGAAAGAGAAUCAUGUACCCAAGACAGACCACUUUCUUUGCAGGAUAGUUUGUGGCCAAUGCUCGAAUGCCCAGGAUCUCCAGUAGCCAGGUCACUGUUUAUGUCAGUGAAUGGGACAGCGGGUGAGUGUGGAGAUGCGGAAUUUAGGGACUUCUUUCCCUCAGGACUAAUAGAGGAUGAGAAAUUGCAAAGCCCAGUGGAUAGAACUCAAGGACAAGGGAGAUACAAAAAGUACAAUUGAAUGGAAUUGAGAUGAAUGAUUGCUGCAGGCCUCUCUCCCUCCCACAAUGAUAUCAACUCUGCAAACCCCAGAGAUCAAAAUGCAGCCAGAAAAUUUCCCCAUCUAGAGAUUUUUAAAAAAACUUUAAUUGCUAUCCUACUGAGGGGCCAACUCCAGCUUUGAGGAGAUAUAUUUACUGGUUAGAUUUUCAGUAAUGAUUAUUAUUGUUACUGUUAAGAAGAAUACACUCAUUGUCUCCAGUGAGCUCACUGUGCUGCACAAACAUGACCUCAUUUCUCCUCUGAAUGGGGCAGGUAUUGUUAACUCUGUUUUCCAAAAGAAGGACAUGGAGGUCCACUGCAGUCCAACGCCUUGAGCAAGGCCACACAUCAAGAGAGGGAGGGAUGAUGGAACCAGGCCCUGGACCUCUCCCAUUUGGGUCCCAGGGCUCUUUGC